rnacentral:tRNA from 1 species
UAUUCGGUUAUUUCUAUAGUUGAAAUACAACGAUGGUUUUUCAGAUCAUUAGUC